GACGAACGCUGGCGGCGUGCUUAACACAUGCAAGUCGAACGAAGUGGCGAACGGGUGAGUAACGCGUAAUCAACCUGCCCUUCAGAGGGGGACAACAGUUGGAAACGACUGCUAAUACCGCAUACUGAAGGAGGGGUUUGCGUCUGGUUAGCUGGUUGGCGGGGGAACGGCCCACCAAGGCGAAGCUCAGUCGGCGGUAUGAGAGGAUGAGCGGCCACAUUGGGACUGGGACACGGCCCAGAAUCCUACGGGAGGCAGCAGUGGGGAAGCUUCCGCAAUGGACGAAAGUCUGACGGAGCAAAGCCGCGAGAGUGAUGACGGCCUUCGGGUUGUAAAGCUCUGUUAAUCGGGACGCGGUACCGGAAUAGAAAGCCACGGCUAACUACGUGCCAGCAGCCGCGGUAAUUC
rnacentral:rRNA from 1 species